AUUGAACGCUGGCGGCAGGCCUAACACAUGCAAGUCGAGCGGAUGAAGGGAGCUUGCUCCUGGAUUCAGCGGCGGACGGGUGAGUAACGCCUAGGAAUCUGCCUGGUAGUGGGGGAUAACGUCUGGAAACGGGCGCUAAUACCGCAUACGUCCUGAGGGAGAAAGUGGGGGAUCUUCGGACCUCACGCUAUCAGAUGAGCCUAGGUCGGAUUAGCUAGUUGGUGGGGUAAAGGCCUACCAAGGCGACGAUCCGUAACUGGUCUGAGAGGAUGAUCAGUCACACUGGAACUGAGACACGGUCCAGACUCCUACGGGAGGCAGCAGUGGGGAAUAUUGGACAAUGGGCGAAAGCCUGAUCCAGCCAUGCCGCGUGUGUGAAGAAGGUCUUCGGAUUGUAAAGCACUUUAAGUUGGGAGGAAGGGCAGUAAGUUAAUACCUUGCUGUUUUGACGUUACCAACAGAAUAAGCACCGGCUAACUUCGUG
rnacentral:rRNA from 1 species